ACUGCCAUAUGGCUGGAAUAUUGCUGAGUGCGGUGUGAAUCUUAACUCACUCACUCACUUGAAGGUGUAACACAUUAACUCGUGGCAUCAUACAAAGAACAACAUGUCAGUGUACAGUUGGCUACCGAGGUAACACUUGUCAAGAGAUACAUAUUUUAUAAAACAUGACGAGUUUCAUAUGGAUGUAUAAUUCUACAUUACUGAUUUAUUUAUUAUUUGGCCUGUUGCAUUGUGAUUUGUAAUUGGUAUGAUUUAAUCGUCCCAAUUAGGGGGCCAGUAUGUUACGGCCAAAACUGUAUAUAUUUUGAAUUUUUUGUUUUUGUGGGUUUGUAUGAAAUAUGUUAUGGUUGACAGAAACGCCUAUACUUUUGUUUGUCGUUAAAUAUUUUAGCGGGUUGCAUUUAGGGGUGUCAAGGGGAGAUAACUUUGGGUAGCUAUGUGAUUCGUGAUCAGUAUGUCGCCUGCUUGCCAUGUGAGCGUGUCAGAGAGCAGAUGGUCUACAAACGUCAAUCUAUAGCAAGGACACUUGCGUCGAAUUGGCCCGAAUCUGCUUAGAAAUCCAGAAUAUUGUCGUUUCAAUAUGAAUAUGAAUCAUGAUGAACUUGAGAGACACUUGCGUUGAAUUGGCCCGUAUCUGCUUACAAAUCCUAUUGACAUUUCAAUAUGAAUAUGAAUCAUGAUGCACUUGAGAGAAAAGAAUAAAAGCAACUCCUGAACUACAA